rnacentral:rRNA from 1 species
CCUACGGGCGGCAGCAGUGGGGAAUAUUGCACAAUGGGCGCAAGCCUGAUGCAGCCAUGCCGCGUGUGUGAAGAAGGCCUUCGGGUUGUAAAGCACUUUCAGCGGGGAGGAAGGCGGUGAGGUUAAUAACCUCAUCGAUUGACGUUACCCGCAGAAGAAGCACCGGCUAACUCCGUGCCAGCAGCCGCGGUAAUACGGAGGGUGCAAGCGUUAAUCGGAAUUACUGGGCGUAAAGCGCACGCAGGCGGUCUGUCAAAUCGGAUGUGAAAUCCCCGGGCUCAACCUGGGAACUGCAUUCGAAACUGGCAGGCUAGAGUCUUGUAGAGGGGGGUAGAAUUCCAGGUGUAGCGGUGAAAUGCGUAGAGAUCUGGAGGAAUACCGGUGGCGAAGGCGGCCCCCUGGACAAAGACUGACGCUCAGGUGCGAAAGCGUGGGGAGCAAACAGGAUUAGAUACCCCAGUAGUC